rnacentral:lncRNA from 1 species
ACAUUGGCAGCAGAAAUACUUCUGCAGUUCUGAACAAUGCACGUGUAAAAUGUAAAUCGCAUUUCGCAUCGCAGUCAUACCAAAAAUAGUAAAGUAAAGUACAGAUAUCAACUAAAGUUAUGCUGGAUUCUGUGUGUUAUUUUUAAGUUUUUGUUUUAAAUUUGUAUGGGCAAAAUGAAUGAAACCCAUAAAUGACGUGGUUAAUUAGAUCAUGGUUGUUCCAAGUUUUACAUCCAGUUGCUGAGUAUUUUUUAUUAUCAAAACAUCAGCUACCUUGCAGCUACCAAACUUCAGCUUUAUAUCCGAAAGGUUUUGGAAUGGAUGUAGGCCUAUGCUACAUGAUGACGGAGCUGGUCAGAGCGACAUUGGAGAGAUCAAAUUAAAAGGAGAAACUGCCAACAACUUGUUGAGUUUUUUGUCGAGUAUGUCGACCCAUCAGAAUUUCACUUGUCGUUUAAUAAUACUUGACUCUGCAAUAUUUGGGUUACGACCGAAAUAGGCGGAAAUACUCAUUGUGAGAUGCAUCUUUGUCGAGGAAACCGGCGCGUGGAAGAAACUGACAGUGAUGGUGUAACUAUUGCCUUGGAAUAUCGUAUGACGUGGUACUGCUCGAGCAGCCCCAUCGAUUCGAACAGUUGAUUGCAGUUUUGGCCACGAUGGAAUUUGAACUCCCUUUGUCAAAAGCAAAAUACAAUCUGAGCCAAGAAAUUAAAGCAGGUGCCUCCUACAAUAAAGAUGCCAAAAGAACGCAACAGCUAUUCCUAUGUGGAAAUUUGCUAAAGAUGCCUUUCAUUCGGUUGUCAACUUGGAGAAAGAAGAAGAAUCUGAACGCAAACAAGAGGGAGAAGAACCAUCUACUACUGAUUUACCAACAGCCAAUGAACUUAUUCCACACGCUCUAAGACUGCAGUAUUAUGGCGUGCCCUUAUUGGGUUACGACUUGUGGUUCUGUUGGAGUCAUAAAAAAGGAAUGCACCGCCACCAAAUCAAAGGUUCCUUUACCAACUGACGUCAUUUUCAAGUUGGUCAUGGAUGGUCGGCAACAGACGUAUGUAAACACGAGCGAACCGGUUGCGCUCAGUAAGAAUCAGGCAUACAAAAAGGGCACCGUGUGCUUGUCGCUCAAGUUCUUCAUUAUCAAACCUUUAUCACUUAUACUAAUGACCUAAGGUACUGUCAGAUCUAGAAACACAAAGAUGAUGGAAUUCAUCUCUGUGGCCAAUAGAGUUCGACCGCAUGCAGCAUCUAGCCCGAUGUCGUUAAAGAUUUCCAUCACGGCCCCAUGGAUAACUCGCCUUCUUGGAUCUACUCAUUGGCUUCACCCCUGUUUCUGGCCUAAUGUCUCGUUUUUCUGCACAAACGGCCUCAAAUCGUCGAAUUCGCUUUGUAAGUUCGAACCCUUUAUAUGCAUGUCCCGCUGAGAAGAAAUGGCGACCAAAGCCGGCAACAUGUCAAUGAAAGCAGUAGGCUGGAGCCGUUGCCUUACAGCCACAGGCAGGAAAAUUAUUCUUUUCUCCAGAAAAAUGGAAAGCUCGGAAAGCUGCUGGAGUAAUCUGGUGUUUAUGCUCAUUUGAUGCAUUUCGUGCCAGCUAGUGAAAGCCGAAAGGCAUGUCGAAUUCAAGUUGAGCUGCUGCUUACUGUCUGGAAUCCAGCAAUCCAGCCGUUGCGUUCAGUCAUUUGAACAGGAAUCUGAUGGCUGUCAAUAGGUGGCUGUCAAAAGUUGGCUGGAAUGUCCACCAGGUAGCGCUAGUGUCUUCAGGGACGCAUUUCGGCCAUUUUGUUCCAAGACGUAGCAGAAAUGGGUUGCUGGUCGUGACGUUUCUCACGAUGAAAAUUAAAAGGUGAUUUAGCAUGUGGAAACCACUUUGCCAAGUCAUUCAACUCAGACUUGGAAGUGCCUCGUGUGUCUCGCUGUAUGUUCUUAGGCGUAUCAUCUCAUGCAACAGAAAAAAGUAUAACAAAUACUUCUUUAACGCUGUGGGUUUCCUUGUUGCUGCCAAAUGGUGAAAGGAAGAAGAGUACGAAGACGGAUUGAACCAUUGUAUGCAGUUGCAGUGUAAUCCAGAAGUAGCUGUGAUGGUGUUAUGCUGAAAUUGCUGUGCUGUUGUAGCUGAGCUGUUCCAUCUGGGUUCCUGACUUGAAAAUUUUUGUGUUGUUGUUUGCGUGCCAGUAUUUUGUGUUGUGACUUCAAAUAGUUUGAUCUGUCGUCUUUUGAGUUUUCAUUCAAUCAUGCAGUAUACGACUGAGGCAACUUGAUCAAUAUCAGGUUUGACACAGUCGAGAACUGCUAGAUUAAACAAGCUUUCUGCGCCAAACAAAUAAUAACUUGCACAUAACUUGCAUCAUGUUAUUAUCGCGGUAGAGAAAGCGACAGGCCCCCCCCCCUGGGGGCCAUAGGAAAAAUAAAUGUAUGUGACAAUUAAAAAAUAAAUUUUUGAAAUCAAUAAAA